UGGAAUAGCUCAGUCGGUAGAGCGACGCACUCGUAAUGCGUAGGUCGUCAGUUCAAAUCUGAUUUCC
rnacentral:tRNA from 1 species